UACGAAGGGGGCUAGCGUUGCUCGGAAUCACUGGGCGUAAAGCGCACGUAGGCGGAUUUCUAAGUCAGGGGUGAAAUCCUGGAGCUCAACUCCAGAACUGCCCUUGAUACUGGAGACCUUGAGUCCGGGAGAGGUGAGUGGAACUCCGAGUGUAGAGGUGAAAUUCGUAGAUAUUCGGAAGAACACCAGUGGCGAAGGCGGCUCACUGGCCCGGUACUGACGCUGAGGUGCGAAAGCGUGGGGAGCAAACAGG
rnacentral:rRNA from 1 species